UACGUAGGUGGCAAGCGUUGUCCGGAAUUAUUGGGCGUAAAGCGCGCGCAGGCGGUCCUUUAAGUCUGAUGUGAAAGCCCACGGCUCAACCGUGGAGGGUCAUUGGAAACUGGGGGACUUGAGUGCAGAAGAGGAAAGCGGAAUUCCACGUGUAGCGGUGAAAUGCGUAGAUAUCGAGAGGAACACCUGCGGCGAAGGCGGGUAGCUGGGCCGACACUGACGCUGAUGCGCGAAAGCCAGGGGAGCGAACGGG
rnacentral:rRNA from 1 species